rnacentral:lncRNA from 1 species
CACCGUUUCGUUCUGUAUUUCUCUAGAUCGCCGCUGUUAUGCCCAGAAUUCGUGAUCCCCAAAGACCACCAGGGAGCCGAGUCCGAUGCAAAAGCAAAAGAGCCUUUAUUCGAGCUAGCUCGAGCUCAAUCCCCUACCUGCACCGACACAGCGGUGAGAUACCAGGGAGAGAGAGCGAGUUUCAAAAGCACAAAGGUUUUAUAGGGGUCUAGGGGCAGUUGGUGAGGUAACGGCUGUGGGCUCAGCCGAUUGGCUGGGGAAGGGUUGUGGCCUCGGCUGAUUGGCUGGGGAAGGGUCGGCGUCCUGUUACGCAGGUCGCUGGGUGUGUUUUGAUCAGGAAGUUUGAACGGGUGAGCGGGAGGUUACUCAAGGGGAGGAGGCGCGGUCUGAGGUUUCUUCGUUUUCCCGGAAAAGGGGUCAUGUCUGGGACAUAGUCACUCAAGGUGGAGGACACAGAGCAAGAUGGAGUCGGCCGGCGUAGGCCCACCCUUUCAGCCGCUCUUGUCCAAAGUCCUGGAGCGCUGAGGAAGAGAACAGAAGCCUGAGAGGGGAAGUUACUUUUGUUCUUCCAGUAUCAAUAGAUCAACUAGAUGGCCCCCAAGAGGAACCACUGGCACCACGUCUGAGGGGGAGCUGGAACGCAGGUGUUCAUGCCGAGUCCAGGAAUGCCGGUUGGAAGGGAGAGAUGGUUGUGUGCACAGAUGAUUUAUCCUGGAGUGGAGGUCACUUGAGGUGUGCCUGGUACCGGCCACAAUGUGAAAAUAACACAGCACAAGCUCCGUUGAGCUCCUGGCACAGACCAGCCACUAUUCUAGGAACUCUGGAGGCAAACAUAAGACAGAUAUUCUCCACGUUUAGAAGACAGUCAGAGGAUGCGUAUUGAGGGAAGACAAACCAACUGGGACAGACUUCGCUCCACGUUGCUUUUGAGGAAUACAGGAGAAAUUCCUGCAUAGAUGCCCAUGUUCACCUCCAUUCAUCUCCACCUGCAAAGAAACACACGGAUCUGGCUUCUUUGUGGAUUCUCUUUGAGUCCUGUGACACUCCCAGGAGUGGUUCCUACGUGAGGGCAUGUCACUCAUCAUUCCCCAACCACCACCCCGGGGUCAGCUCAGAGCUUGGAGGAAGUAGCCUCUGAGUAAGAGCGCCACCCGUGGUAGACAUAACCCACAGCUCCAUCAGCCCAGAUCACUUCCUGGGUGCAGCCCAGAUCACUUCCUGGAUGUAGCCCAGAUCACUUCCUGGGUGCCUGUGUGUGCCUCCUUCUGAUCCCAGGUUCUGUUCACCUCACCUGACACUUUCAGAGCCAGUUCUCAAUUCAGAUGAUAAUCUAGCACGAAAAAUAAAACGACCCUCACCUAAAAGGAGCCA